rnacentral:sRNA from 1 species
ACACAAUGUGCCAUCCUGACAAGGCUUUUACUUCUGAUAAGCUCCAAUGUGUGUUUAAUGAAUACAAAGCCGCGGUCUGGGUGCCGCCUCGGCCGCGGCCGCUCUCCCGCGCUCCUUUGCCAGAAGCUGGCGGAGAGAAUUUACAUUUAAAGAUUAGCAGAGUGAGAAAGAGAAAUCUGCCUUUUGUUGUGUGGGGUGAGGAGGAGGCAUCUACCCUGGCCUUGACGCUAUCUCCCAUCACCUCUGCUAUCCAGACAGGACUCACCGAGAAAAGAUUGAUCUCUGGGCUGGUGAACAUAAUCUCUGUCCCAGUCAGAAAAGGAGAGAGGAAAUUAGCAGAGCGAUUGGUGGAGAAUGAUAUCUGUCAAAAGAAACACUUGGAGAGCACUGAGUUUAGUAAUAGGUGACUGCCGGAAAAAAGGGAACUUUGAAUAUUGUCAAGGCGCACGCGCCCAGCACCCUGCCUCCGGCGAUGCCGCCCCAGCCCCUCUGAUGGCCCUCCUCUCUGCUGCCACUCAUUCCAGAACAGGAGGCAUGAGCCCGGAACGCGCUUGCUUUUAGGAGACAGCCACUUUCUGUGUGGUACGCUGGAUUCAAGGAUGCCUGAUCGUACUGAGAAGCACUCCACAAUGCCAGACUCACCUGUGGAUGUGAAGACGCAAUCUAGGCUGACUCCUCCAACGAUGCCACCUCCCCCAACUACUCAA